rnacentral:rRNA from 1 species
CCUACGGGUGGCUGCAGUGGGGAAUAUUGCACAAUGGGGGACACCCUGAUGCAGCGAAGCCGCGUGAGCGAAGAAGUCUUUCGGUAUGUAAAGCUCUAUUAGCAGGGAAGAAAAUGACGGUACCUGUGUAUGAAGCUCCGGCUAAAUACGUGCCAGCAGCCGCGGUACUACGGCUGGAGCAAGCGUUAUCCGGAUUUACUGGGCGUAAAGGGAGCGUAGGCGGCCUGCCAAGUCUGAUGUGAAAGACCGGGGCUCAACCCCGGGGCUGCAUUGGAAACUGGCAGGCUGGAGUGCCGGAGAGGCAGGCGGAAUUCGUAGUGUAGCGGUGAAAUGCGUAGAUAUUAGGAAGAACACCAGUGGCGAAGGCAGCCUGCUGGACGGUAACUGACGCUGAGGCUCGAAAGCGUGGGGAGCAAACAGGAUUAGAUACCCCGGUAGUC